GUGGUGGCUUAGUGGCAGAAUGCUUGCCUAGCAUGUAUGAGGCACUGGGUUCAAUCCUCAGCACCACG
rnacentral:tRNA from 1 species